rnacentral:ncRNA from 1 species
AACCUUCAAGGUCCAAGCUGUAAAUUUUGGCUGUUUUUCUUUUUCACAUGUUAGUUUAUGCAAUGUUAUUAAUAUUAUUAAAUAUUUAAUAUGAUUUACUCAGUGAUUUAUAUUAUUAACAAAGUAUCUUUAGGAUUAGAAAGAAAUAUAUUAAGAGGUUAAUAACGUGCCAGCAUCCGCGGUCAUACUUUUUCUUAAGGUCAAGAUAAAUUUAUAAAACAUUUCUAUUAAUCUUUAAAAGGCUGUAUAAUUUAAUUAGGUAGAAUUAUUAAAUUAUUUAGUGAAUUUAUUUAAUAGAUAUUUAAAAACUUUAAGAACCUGGAUUAGAUACCCAGUUACGAGUUUUCAAUUUGUUUUAGAUUAUUACUAAUAUGGAAAUUUAUUGGAUUUGGCGGCAAAAUAUCCUUUUAGAGGAACCUGCCCUAUAAAUGACGGUCCACAAGUUACCUUACUUUUUUUAGUAACCAGUUUAUAUACCGCUGUUGUUAGUUAGUUUCAUUAGAAAGUUAUCUAAAAUAUUAUUUAUAAUUACUUCAAGUAAAGGUGUAGCUUAUAAUAAAGAAAGAGGUGGGUUACAAUUGAUUUAACAAUUACGGAUUUAUAAAAGAAUGAAUAUAAUGAAGGAGGAUUUAAAAGUAAAAUUUUUUUAAAGAAAAUUUGAUGUGAGAAAUAUUUUGUGUACAAACCGCCCGUCGCUCUCAUAAAUAAGAGAUAAGUCGUAACAAGGUAAAUGUAACGGAAGUUGCAUUUG